ACCAGCAGCACUUCUUUGGUAGUCCUUACAUGCUCUAGUCUACUAUGCCAACAGCUGCUGGGCGUGGCAUUCGACACAAAGUUGGCUAGCUAAAAUGUAAAAUAAUUGACAGCAGCAAAAUGAUACCGUUCGUAGGUUACCUAACUAUUUAGCUAGCGCUGACAGGAUUAGACCGCCUGCAGCAUUGCUGCUUCCUUUUGAAGUUCGACGUGCAAUUCAUACCGAAAUCUUGAUGGUCAGAACCACCAGUAACAUCGUCCAAGCUAGCUACAUACAAACGGCUAGUCAAAUGUAUGGCACUUGUAUAUGUGGCCCAAACUUGAAAAUGUCUUAUGAAACAAACCUGUCGUCAUGAUGCAGUUCACCUGCUGAUGGUUGACAUAAACAUCCGGCUCGAGUUGUCUGGGAGGAAGCUAGAGCAGACAGGCUAGAGCUAGGAGCAGACAGGCUGGCGCUGGGAGCAGACAGGCUAGAGCUAGGAGCAGACAGGCUAGAGCUGGGAGCAGACAGGCUAGCGCUGGGAGCAGACAGGCUGGCGAUGGGAGCAGACAGGCUAGCGCUUGGAGCAGACAGGCUAGCGCUUGGAGCAGACAGGCUAGAGCAGACAGGCUAGUGCUAGGAGCAGACAGGCUAGAGCUAAGAGCAGACAGGCUAGAGCUAAGAGCAGACAGGCUAGAGCUAAGAGCAGACAGGCUAGAGCUAAGAGCAGACAGGCUAGAGCUAAGAGCAGACAGGCUAGAGCUAGGAGCAGACAGGCUAGGAGCAGACAGGCUAGAGCAGACAGGCUAGAGCAGUGCGU
rnacentral:lncRNA from 1 species